rnacentral:rRNA from 1 species
UACGUAGGGUGCAAGCGUUAAUCGGAAUUACUGGGCGUAAAGCGUGCGCAGGCGGUGAUGUAAGACAGGUGUGAAAUCCCCGGGCUUAACCUGGGAACUGCAUUUGUGACUGCAUCGCUGGAGUGCGGCAGAGGGGGAUGGAAUUCCGCGUGUAGCAGUGAAAUGCGUAGAUAUGCGGAGGAACACCGAUGGCGAAGGCAAUCCCCUGGGCCUGCACUGACGCUCAUGCACGAAAGCGUUGGGGAGCAAACAGG